rnacentral:rRNA from 1 species
GACGAACGCUGGCGGCGUGCUUAACACAUGCAAGUCGAACGAUGAAGCCAGCUUACUGGUGGAUUAGUGGCGAACGGGUGAGUAACACGUGGGUGAUCUGCCCCAAACUUUGGGAUAAGCCUGGGAAACUGGGUCUAAUACCGAAUAUGACCGAUACUCGCAUAGGUGUUGGUGGAAAGCUCCGGCGGUUUGGGAUGGGCCCGCGGCCUAUCAGCUUGUUGGUGGGGUAAUGGCCUACCAAGGCGACGACGGGUAGCCGGCCUGAGAGGGCGACCGGCCACACUGGGACUGAGACACGGCCCAGACUCCUACGGGAGGCAGCAGUGGGGAAUAUUGCACAAUGGGCGCAAGCCUGAUGCAGCGACGCCGCGUGAGGGAUGACGGCCUUCGGGUUGUAAACCUCUUUCACCAGGGACGAAGCGAAAGUGACGGUACCUGGAGAAGAAGCACCGGCCAACUACGUG